UAGGAGUGACUGGAGUGCGUUUCUGGGCAGGGCGGAGGACACGGGGGCGUGUCCUUAAAACUUUGAACCAAUAAAUGAUAGAGGGGGUGGGACCAACAUUCCAUAGUUUUUGAAGGUGUGCUGCGAGGAGCCCUGACAGCUCCACUUUCACUGAAUGUGGGACAAAAGUCUUUAAAAAAAACUGAGUGAUAUAGGAUUGGAACAACAUGAGGAUGUAAUUCCAAGAAGCCAGGAUGAAGUGACAUUAUUCCAUACUUUAGUAGUGCAUGAAGAAGUAUCCUUGAAAUAGUUUGAAGUGCUCGACAGCUACUGGAGACUUUGGCUCAGGUCCUGUUCGUCUCUUUGGGAGUCUACAUGUUUUGUGUUUGUAUGUGUACGUGUGAAUGUGAUGAUAGGUAAGGAAGAGGCAGAAUUAAUUCACCUUGCUGACAACAGAUAUCCCGGGAGAGUGUGUGUUCAGGCAGUAAUCACUGUGGCCACCGUGUGCGGCAGCAGUCGGUGGUCCCUUGUUAUUAUCUGCGCGUGUUAAAUUACCGGCCCAAGAUGUGAGUAAUGCUAGGUAGGUAAGACCAGCAAUGCGGCAGGCCCAUCUCUCUUAGCAGCAGGUGGAGAGUGUUCGCCAAUGACAUUGGGAAGCACGGCGGUGGGUAUAUUCGGUUGCUAAUUCUUCCAAGUCUUCCCCUCGCUAUGGCACGUCCUAUUAAUUCCCCUGUCCUCUUCUCAUUAAUAUCACAUGAUUGUGCGGCGGAGUCUUCCCCUGUGUGAUUGGUCCCUCUGGAGGAUUUACAGUCCCUGGACAAUGAAGCAGAACUUCCCCGUUCCCUCGUUCUCAAACGUGUGAAGGUCUCACCCACCGAGGCCUGAAUUGGCCUCUUUGGUUAUUAUCUAAUUAAUAAAGCAGCAUGAUAAUGGGCAGCACAUACACGGCAGAGAGGUAUUCACACCUGGGCUUUCAUAUCUGACUCUUGUGUCAUUUCCUGACCGCAGUUUUGUCCUGUCUCGGAAUUAGCUGGAUGUAUCCAGGUUUUUGUGGCAGUGGAGCGCAGCUGAGAGCCCUUGUAGAGGUCAUAUCUGCAGCGCAGCAGAGCUCUGAUUUAUAUAAAUGAAGUUCUGGGUGCCAGUGGUCCAUGUGGGCCGGGUCUGGGCUAUUGCGUGGGAGUCUCAGCAGUGCUGUGGUAAUUAAGAAUCGGGGCUAAACGGGGAACAGUCACCUUGUGCUCCUCCAGGAGCUGCUCUGGAGUGUGUUUUCUGCUCCUGCAAUCAGGUGUUGUCCCAAAACUUGCAUCCCCACCUCACCCUGCUCCUGUUUUAUGUAGUUUUAGUAAGCUGAACAAGAGCACGGUUGACAGACAGCCAAAGGUACACUUUAAAAUGAUUGCUGGUUAAAAAAGCAUCAAAGAAUUACUUGAUUAUUGCAGAUAUUUAUGUUUUAUGAACAGAAAGUGAGUUGCAUCCAGAUAGGCCUGCACUGAAAAACACUAAAGAAAAUCUUUUUUGUGUUUGUCAUAUGUUCACUGCUGUGACGGAAGGCUGUAAAGGAGAAGUUGUGCGAAAAGCCCUUAUAUGGAGAUGAUUUGGGUGUGUUUUGUGCAAAUUAUUAACCUUGGGCAUGAGGUCACUCUUUUAGAAUACUCUAAAAUCGUUAACAUUAGAUUUAAUGUUCAUUAAGAACAAAAUCGUGUGCACACAUGUGUUGUGAAUUUUGCGAAUAUUUUUCUUGAGAAGUUCUCUUGGUUGUACAAAUAUAAAAUAAUUAAUUGUUUUUAUGAUAUGUGAAUGAGACCUGUUAGCUUUAGCUAACUUAGCAAGAUCUGCCACAACAGUAGUUUGCCUGAAAGAGAAAACUGACUGUACAGUAAGUAGACAUUGAUGCUAAAACCUGCUGUAGCACCCAUGAAGGCAAUGUUGAGAAUACAAUAUAAUGAAUUGUUGAAACUGUGAAUUGCAGUCAUAAACAUUUCACAAUAAAUGCACAAAAUCUUUUGAAGCUUGUGUAGCUAGAAAUAUCUGCACUUACAUACAUGUAAAUUUAUUUAUUUAAAGAUACACUGCAGAUUUCCUGGUUCUCUAAAGUGGCUUCAUUCAAUUUUGAACUGUAUAACUUUUUUGAGAACUUUUUUUUUAUUUAUGCAGUGCCUUAAAUUUUAAUUUCUUAAAAAAACCUAUGUUCAAGAAAUACUCAGUGCUGUACAGUGUGACAUAGAUGUUGCACACUCUACAGUCUGUGCAAGGAAUACAUUUAUGACUGUAGCUCAUGUGCAAUACAGUUUUGCAUGUGUUCGAGGCAAGGUCACUUGUUUGUGUGAAGCGAGAGUUUGUUGUGUGCUUGUCUGAGUGUGAGGUUAAUCAGUGGUGCACCGCUAAUUUACUUGGUAGAUAUUCUGUUGUAUGAUUUAAAAACCAUGUCUUGGCUGUGUUUUGAGUCCAUACACCCAAUUCCAUUGGUAAAGAGUUAUUUAAAGUAAUGACCAACAGAUCUGUCCUGCUAAUUUUGAGUGCAAUGUUGUUGAAGUGUAAAUGGAUUGUGAUAUUGGGCUAUAUGAACAAAAUUAAGCAAGAGGUGUUAUGUUCCUUCCACUUUGUCUACCAUUUUUGACAAAUAAAGAGAAUGUUUGUCUGAAAACAUUAAGGGGGUUGGAUUUGCCAAUCACAUGCCUGUUUAAGUGAUGAACUGCACUACUUGUAGUUGCUUUCAGAGAUAUAACAUGCUUUAAAUACUUGUGCUACAAUUGUGUGGGCUGUGCUACAAAACUUUCAACUUCUGUAGAACCAAUUAACAGACAGACCUGUUAGUUCAAUCAAUGUUCAUUACAGUACAUUUCUAACUAAUGUCUAACAUUCUCAAUGAUCUGUUAAGCAUUAAAUGAUGCAGUCAUGAUAGUUAAAAGGAACAGUUCAUCCAAACAUGAAAACUCUGUCACAUGAGAGUGAGUAAAUGACAGAAUUUUAAUUUUUGAGUGAUGUUCGUAAUGAUAGUUAUUAG